rnacentral:rRNA from 1 species
AUAUUGGGCAAUGGGCGAAAGCCGGACCCAGCAACGCCGCGUGAAGGAUGAAUGUCUUCGGAUUGUAAACUUCUUUAACUUGGGAAGAAUAAAUGACCUACCCAACGAAUAAGUCACGGCCAACUCCGUGCCAUCAGCCGCGGUAAUACGUAGGUUACAAGCGUUAUUCGGAUUUACUGGGCGUAAAGGGCGUGUAGGCGGUCUUGCAAGUCAGAAGUGAAAUUCCUGAGCUCAACUCGGGCGCUGCUUCUGAAACUGCAGGACUUGAGUGCUGGAGGGGAUAGCGGAAUUCCUAGUGGAGCGGUAAAAUGCGCAGAUAUUAGGAAGAACACCGGUGGCGAAGGCGGCUAUCUGGACAGUAACUGACGCUGAGGCGCGAAAGCGUGGGGAGCAAAC